GCGAGCAUUAGCUCAGUGGUAGAGCUCCUGCUUCGUAUGCGGGAAGAGCUGGGUUCGAUUGCCUGCUGCUUCCU
rfam:Toxocara canis scaffold254, whole genome shotgun sequence.